rnacentral:lncRNA from 1 species
CUGAGUAGACAAUGAAUGUCCCUCCCAGGAAAGAGAUAAUGCCCAUUCCUGAACUGCCCAACCUCCAGGUCCAGCCUAGCUCAAGGAUUGGCUAAACAAUCAGCCCUAGAGCAGCCAGGCUCUGCUGGGGAGGAAAGAGCCAGCUUAACUGCUUUGUGACCUUCUCUGGUCUGGCUGGCAACACCUUGAUCAAUGCAGCCCAGAAGCCUUGACCAACCUGGAAAGAGCAAAGGCAGGCAAACCACCCAUCCAUCAACUAGCCAUGGUGCACCUUGAGAGGAGCCAGCCUAGCCCAGCAGUGGAGUAACUUGUCAAUCACCAAUGCCGCCAUUAAUUUCAUGAAGACUGUGCCAAGGAAAAAGGACACUGAGGCCCUGCUACCCUCAAGUUGUAAGGUGCCUUGGCCAGGUGUGCUCCCUACCAGUAUGCCUCACUUCCACUUUAACUGACAUCCUUCUGCAUCUUCGGAGCAUGUCUUUGAGGCUCUAAUGCAUGAUCAGUUUUUCUAGAAGUUCCAUGCUGUGGAAAAAAAAAAUUGUCUCCUCAUCUACAUUUCAAUUCAGUUGAAGAAGCACCUGAAUACUCUUCAGACUUUGUGUGGAUAUCUGGUGGCAGUUCCCUUCAGAAGGAGCAUCAGCAGCCGCCGCCACCUCAACCACCACAACCCCCAGCGUCUCACCGGCACUCAGAACCCCGUGCUAGCAGCGCCGCGCCGAGCUCAGCCAAGUAAUCUUGCCUUUGGAGACCCGCGAGGAGCAGACAGCGAACACUGAGCCUUGCGGGGUGCUG